UUGCAGUGCUAUACCCAAGCAGUUUUCAUUUCAAGCUCUGCUUCAUCCUUGCAGUAUUUCCUUGUCACAAAGAGGACUUCAUGUACCAGCGUCCUGCAGAAAAAUAAUGCUGUGGAUGAGAGAAGGGGCUCUGGGCGGUUGCAUUGUACAUCCCUGGGAAGCAGCGCUUGGAGACGUCAGCUCUCAGGCAAGGCACAAAAUCACGUCACAAAAUCACAGCACAAAAUAAACAUCUGCAGAAGGAUCUCACUGCCAUCCUUCUUCAGUCAUCAGGGCACAGCGUUCCUUCAUUUGCUGUGGCUCUGUUUCCCAUGACCAGCUGACGGCAGCUGGUUGUGAGCUCUGUCCGUGUUGGGCAGUUGAGUGGACUCUCUCUGUGGGCAAAAUUCUGGCAUGGGUCAGAUCGCUGCUCCAAUGCACAUGGGCUUCAGCAGGGUUUGUCCCAGGGGAUCAAAGCUGCUCAAAGUGGGAGAGAACUCCAAACAACAAAUUUCCUCACCAGAUAUCGGCAUGUCGCUGUUCCGACCUUUUCCCAGCAUUUCCUCCCCUCACAGCCUGCCUGCAUCUGGCCACAGGAGGGAUUCAAACUGCGUGGAGACAAAUGUCUUACAAAAAUCAGAACAGAAAUGCUUGUGAAUAAAUAAAAAUUAGGAUAUCAAUUCAUCCCCAACUCGGGGAGGAAAAGCAUUCCUUGCUUGUUAAGGCAAGGGUAUGAAUUGAGUUUUAGGGAUGAGAUUUUACUGAAAAUUAAGCAGGAUUAUGCACAAAUGUGAGCUGCCGAUGAGUGUUGGAGCGGAGCUGGGUGAUCUGGGUUUGCCCUGGGUAUGUGCUGCCGCGUUUCUCAUUGCACCUCUGGCAAGAAAUUAGGGUCAGGCAAUGCUCAGCCAAAUUCCCCACUGAAAGUGAGAUUUCCCAGGAGCGCCUC